rnacentral:lncRNA from 1 species
AUACUGAGGAGCUGUCUGUGACACAACAAAUCUCCACCACUGCUGCUGAUGCCAGCAUUGCUGUGCCAGUGACAACACCAGGCAAUGCCAGUGCAGGCAUGUCAAAACAAACCAAAUGAAAAUAACGUGGGAUUUCUCUCAGGAGUUCCAGUAUAACCUGUAAACUUCUGAAUGAAGACUUCAAAAUUGGAGUUUUCAUGAGUGAAGACCCGAUGACAUACAGUGAUUUAAGACUUGGGAUUUGGAGUGAGCUC